rnacentral:lncRNA from 1 species
UGAUAUGUGUCUAAGUAUAUAUUUUUUGCCAUGGUUUCCAGAAUAGGUAUGAAAAAAUAUAUGACAUCACCCAUCCGGGGUAUACAAAGCAAUGAGACAAUGAUAAGACGGCCACAAUGUAUAAAUACAACAAGCAACAAUAAGUAAUAGUAAGGAAGAAAGGACACAACACACGGAACACACACAAUUCAGUAAAAUACUGCAUAUGAAAUGAGCAAAAGUAAAGAAGGAUGAAGGAGGAAGACAUAACCUUGGCAAGACGAAAGUGAGCACACAAGGCGUCGGGCCAGCUAAACUGCAGGCGUCGGGCCAACUAAACUGCAGCAUGAUCUAGAACACGGAAAAAAUAAAUUGCCGGAGAAGACAACUUGGUAGUAGGAGCAACUAAAUCAGAACGCAUACAAACUUUCCUUGUACUGAGUAAUGCGUACAAUAUCUUCUUAUUUAAGGAACAACUAAAAGAGACUACAAGAUAAUCAACAGCUGGAACUUCUUCAAUCAUAUCAUGCUUUAACAUCUAACCGUUUUUGAAAUCAUUAUUGCAAGAUAGGACAUUUUUUGUGACGCAGUAGUAGAACACCCUAUUUGUGAACUGAGAUAAGAAAAUGGUACUGAUCGUAUAUUUAAUAUUUAAAACGGACCAGAUGUAUCCUGUACUGUCCAGAAGAAACGAAAAUACGAGUGUACCUAACAUUUCAUCAACCGACUCCUCCGACUCACAUGUGAACAUUGUGCAAGUACAACAGCCUGCUGGACCGGAGUUAAUGAUAUAUGUGUGCUUCCACUAUUCGAGUCAUUCACAUUUCUGCAAGCAAAGUCAAGCAAAGGAGCUCCUCGUUGUUCUGUUGUUUGCCCCUCAUGAGCUGCUAGUUUAGUGGUCUUUGUAAUCCGUACAAUUUGGGACUUCACAUCCACCUAUACCAAAGAAUUGAUCAUAUAAAAAAGAUUAAGGAUAAUUAUUCCAUAUAUGUUAUGAAACAACAACAUGAAUGAUAGAAAUGAAAUACAGUAGCAUUUAAGUAUAUAUGUGAUGUAUACAUCAUUGUUUUCUCAUUUUCUAACAAGGUCCUCAAAAGAGUCUGACUAAGAGUGAAUCAGGUGGCAAGAAGGAAGUCAAUCAAUACAUUCAUUCGAAAAGCAUUUUUUUCAAAAUUAAAUGGUCCUCUAUCAUCAAGCUCGAGAAGCUAAAAUAGAAACAUGAAGUUCCACGAGGUCAAGCACAAUAUACCUGGUGUAUUGUUCGAAAACCAAGAAUCCCUGUGAGGGAAAGAUGAAUCCCACAUACCUCUUGAGCACUAUCCAGAUGCAACCUAUACAAAUAGAAAAGCCAUAAUUCUUU